rnacentral:rRNA from 1 species
CCUACGGGAGGCAGCAGUGAGGAAUAUUGGUCAAUGGGCGUAAGCCUGAACCAGCCAAGCCGCGUGAGUGAUGAAGGUUCUCUGGAUCGUAAACCUCUUUUAUAAGGGAAUAAAGUGCGGGACGUGUCCCGUUUUGUAUGUACCUUAUGAAUAAGGAUCGGCUAACUCCGUGCCAGCAGCCGCGGUAAUACGGAGGAUCCGAGCGUUAUCCGGAUUUAUUGGGUUUAAAGGGUGCGUAGGCGGCCUUUUAAGUCAGCGGUGAAAGUCUGUGGCUCAACCGUAGAAGUGCCGUUGAAACUGGGAGACUUGAGUAUGUUUGAGGCAGGGGGAAUGCGUGGUGUAGCGGUGAAAUGCUUAGAGAUCAGGCAGAACCCCGGUUGCGAAGGCAGCCUGCCAAGCCAUGACUGACGCUGAUGCACGAAAGCGUGGGGAGCAAACAGGAUUAGAUACCCGAGUAGUC